UGGGCAAGUUACUUAAACUCUCUGAACUUCAAUGUAGUCAUCUCUGGGACAGGGUCCCUAUCUUAUUGUGUUGUUCUGAGAAUUAAAGAAACAAUGUAUGAUCACCUUAUAAUCCAGUGUCUCCCAGAUGCUUAUUUUGAAUAUCUGUGGUAUUAAAUCACUCAUACUAAAACAUAAUAAAAGAGGAAGUAAUGAUUUGUUGAAUUUAGAGGAAGAAAUAAUGACAAGGAAAGCCAAAAGUAUCACAACAAGCUCUGUAUUUAGGCUCAUAUGUCCAUUCUUGCCAGAGCCACUAAUUCAGAGCUAGGGCGGAGAACAACUGGCCAAAGUCCAUUACAUUCCAUCUAAUGACAUGUCUGUUGCGGGUGCGGGGAGGCUAUUGGCAACUCACCUUUUCCAAUACCCUCAUGUUAUAAUACAAAGCUCCAGCCCAAACUGAAAAUGUAAAGAACAAUCAGCCAGAUCACCUUCUCAAUGACUAUGAUGUUUAAAGCAUAACACAUUCAGCAUAACACAUAAAGCAUUCACAAAAGUGAAUUCAAAUUAUUGGUAUGUUUUAUUAGCACCAUCUGUAAUUUCACCUUAACACAAAGAUGAAGCAAAACAGGAGCAGGAAAGGCAGUCUAUAAUAAAAACUCCCAUUUAUCACAGGCCUCCUAUGGGUUCGGUACUCUUUAUUUGCUAUUUCUAAUGCAUAUUGCAACUUACAAGGCAGUUCUGUUCUCCUUCACAAAUGAAGCAUCCACAGCACAAUUGGUGACUUCACAAAGGUCCCAUGGCUCCUAGGUGGGAAGCCACCGGAAGGCAGAUCUGAUUCUAAAGCUGCUGUCUGCAUGCCAGGCUAGUACAACUCUCAAUCUGGGAUCAGGAAAGAGAGGUACCACAUGUGGUCAAGGAGCUCCCACAUCCCCAGGAGUCCAAGGGUUGCCAUUCUUCCUCCUUCUGUCUCCAUGAUGUCGCCACUACAAUGUUGUCGUAUUGUGAACUGUUCUGGGAUGCUAGCAGAGCUCAAAUCCUUAUGAAUCCAAACUCCCAAGCCACUGGAUCCGGUGAGAUGGCUGGAGCCCAGCAGGGUCAGCAUGAGGAACACCACGAGGACUCCUGAAACACCACAUUCCCAUGGCUGCAGCAGGGCAGCGGGGUAGCUGGAAGGCACAGUGUCCCUGAAACUGUCGUCCUGGGCAAGGAGUGUGGCUGCAUGGUGGGUCGCCUGACCUGUAAGCAGAUCUUGGAGGCAGAUGUGGGAAGUAGGAGUGCUGUGGCAACACAAUGUGGAAAUCGGGAGUUCUCUUCAGGUGUGAUGCUCACAAUUCAUGUAAAUCGAUUGAUCUAUGUAUUUACCUA